rnacentral:rRNA from 1 species
GAUGAACGCUGGCGGCGUGCCUAAUACAUGCAAGUAGAACGCUGAAGCUUGGUGCUUGCACCGAGCGGAUGAGUUGCGAACGGGUGAGUAACGCGUAGGUAACCUGCCUGGUAGCGGGGGAUAACUAUUGGAAACGAUAGCUAAUACCGCAUAACAGUAGAUAUUGCAUGAUAUCUGCUUGAAAGGGGCAAUUGCUCCACUACCAGAUGGACCUGCGUUGUAUUAGCUAGUUGGUGAGGUAACGGCUCACCAAGGCGACGAUACAUAGCCGACCUGAGAGGGUGAUCGGCCACACUGGGACUGAGACACGGCCCAGACUCCUACGGGAGGCAGCAGUAGGGAAUCUUCGGCAAUGGACGGAAGUCUGACCGAGCAACGCCGCGUGAGUGAAGAAGGUUUUCGGAUCGUAAAGCUCUGUUGUAAGAGAAGAACGAGUGUGAGAGUGGAAAGUUCACACUGUGACGGAACUACCAGAA